rnacentral:rRNA from 1 species
CUCCUACGGGAGGCAGCAGUGAGGAAUAUUGGUCAAUGGCCGAGAGGCUGAACCAGCCAAGUCGCGUGAGGGAUGACGGUCCUAUGGAUCGUAAACCUCUUUUAUAAGGGAAUAAAGUGCGAGACGUGUCCCUUUUUGUAUGUACCUUAUGAAUAAGGAUCGGCUAACUCCGUGCCAGCAGCCGCGGUAAUACGGAGGAUCCGAGCGUUAUCCGGAUUUAUUGGGUUUAAAGGGAGCGUAGGCGGCCUAUUAAGCCAGCGGGGAAAGGCUGAGGCUCAACCUUUGAACUGCCGCUCAAACUGGGGGGCUUGAGUACGCUCGAGGCGGGCGGAAUGCGUGGUGUAGCGGUGAAAUGCAUAGAUAUCACGCAGAACCCCGAUUGCGAAGGCAGCUCGCCGAACCAUUACUGACGCUGAUGCUCGAAAGCGCGGGGAUCAAACAGGAUUAGAUACCCUGGUAGUCCACACAGUAAACGAUGAAUGCUAGCUGUUGGCCAUACUCUGUAAGCGGCCCAGCGAAAGCGUUAAGCGAUCCACCUGGGGAGUACGCCGGCAACGGUGAAACUCAAAGGAAUUGACGGGGGCCCGCACAAGCGGAGGAACAUGUGGUUUAAUUCGAUGAUACGCGAGGAACCUUACCCGGGUUUGAACGCAUUAGGACCGAUGUGGAAACACCUUCUCCAGCAAUAGCCUUUGGCAAGGUGCUGCAUGGUUGUCGUCAGCUCGUGCCGUGAGGUGUCGGCUUAAGUGCCAUAACGAGCGCAACCCUUGCCAAUAGUUACUAACAGGUAAAGCUGAGGACUCUGGUGGGACUGCCAGCGUAAGCAUGCGAGGAAGGCGGGGAUGACGUCAAAUCAGCACGGCCCUUACAUCCGGGGCGACACACGUGUUACAAUGGCGUGGACAAAGGGAGGCCACCUGGCGACAGGGAGCCAAUCCCCAAACCAUGUCUCAGUUCGGAUCGGAGUCUGCAACCCGACUCCGUGAAGCUGGAUUCGCUAGUAAUCGCGCAUCAGCCAUGGCGCGGUGAAUACGUUCCCGGGCCUUGUACACACCGC